rnacentral:rRNA from 1 species
UACGUAGGGUGCGAGCGUUGUCCGGAAUUAUUGGGCGUAAAGGGCUCGUAGGCGGUUUGUCACGUCGGGUGUGAAAACUCGGGGCUUAACCCCGAGCCUGCUUCCGAUACGGGCUGACUAGAGGUAUGCAGGGGAGAACGGAAUUCCUGGUGUAGCGGUGAAAUGCGCAGAUAUCAGGAGGAACACCGGUGGCGAAGGCGGUUCUCUGGGCAUUACCUGACGCUGAGGAGCGAAAGUGUGGGGAGCGAGCAGG